rnacentral:rRNA from 1 species
AGAUUGUACCCACAUUUACUUGGAUAACUGUGGUAAUUCUAGAGCUAAUACAUGCAAACUAGAAUUCCGACCAGAGAUGGAAGGAAUGCUUUUAUUAGAUCAAAACCAAUCGGUGGUAUAUAAUUUCGGUUAUAUAUCCAUCGUUAAUUUUGAUGACUCUGAAUAACUUUGUGCUGAUCGCAUUGGUCUUUGUACCGGCGACGAAUCUUUCAAAUGUCUGCCUUAUCAACUGUCGAUGGUAGGUUCUAUGCCUACCAUGGUUGUAACGGGUAACGGGGAAUCAGGGUUCGAUUCCGGAGAGGGAGCCUGAGAAACGGCUACCACAUCCAAGGAAGGCAGCAGGCGCGCAAAUUACCCACUCCCGGCACGGGGAGGUAGUGACAAAAAAUAACGAUACGGGACUCAUCCGAGGCCCCGUAAUCGGAAUGAGUACACUUUAAAGCCUUUAACGAGGAUCAAUUGGAGGGCAAGUCUGGUGCCAGCAGCCGCGGUAAUUCCAGCUCCAAUAGCGUAUAUUAAAGUUGUUGCGGUUAAAAAGCUCGUAGUUGAAUUUGUGUCACAUCCUGUUGGUUCACCACUCGUGGUGUUUAACUGACAUGUUGAUGGGACGUCCUACCGGUGGAUUUAGCUUUUUUUAUAUUUUCUUUUUAUUUGUUAUUUUCUUUCGAGUUAAUUUCAAUUUAAAGUAAAAUAUAUUUAAAGCGAUCCAACUAAUAUCCGUCGCGGUGCUCUUUACUGAGUGUCGAGGUGGGCCGGUACGUUUACUUUGAACAAAUUAGAGUGCUUAAAGCAGGCUUUUGCCUGAAUACUGUGUGCAUGGAAUAAUAGAAUAGGACCUCGGUUCUAUUUUGUUGGUUUUCGGAACCCCGAGGUAAUGAUUAAUAGGGACAGAUGGGGGCAUUCGUAUUGCGACGUUAGAGGUGAAAUUCUUGGAUCGUCGCAAGACGAACAGAAGCGAAAGCAUUUGCCAAAAAUGUUUUCAUUAAUCAAGAACGAAAGUUAGAGGUUCGAAGGCGAUCAGAUACCGCCCUAGUUCUAACCAUAAACGAUGCCAGCUAGCGAUCCGCCGAAGUUCCUCCGAUGACUCGGCGGGCAGCUUCCGGGAAACCAAAGCUUUUGGGUUCCGGGGGAAGUAUGGUUGCAAAGCUGAAACUUAAAGGAAUUGACGGAAGGGCACCACCAGGAGUGGAGCCUGCGGCUUAAUUUGACUCAACACGGGAAAUCUCACCAGGCCCGGACACCGGAAGGAUUGACAGAUUGAUAGCUCUUUCUUGAUUCGGUGGGUGGUGGUGCAUGGCCGUUCUUAGUUGGUGGAGCGAUUUGUCUGGUUAAUUCCGAUAACGAACGAGACUCUAGCCUGCUAAAUAGGCGUAUUUAUGGUAUCUCGAAGAUUAUUAUGUUUCAUUAGUGGUAUUAUUUUUAUAUAUAAUAUAUCUUUCCGGGUUAUUAGAGGGACAGGCGGCUUUUAGCCGCACGAGAUUGAGCAAUAACAGGUCUGUGAUGCCCUUAGAUGUUCUGGGCCGCACGCGCGCUACACUGAAGGAAUCAACGUGUUUUCCCUGGCCGAAAGGCCCGGGUAACCCGCUGAAUCUCCUUCGUGCUAGGGAUUGGGGCUUGAAAUUAUUCCCCAUGAACGAGGAAUUCCCAGUAAGCGCGAGUCAUAAGCUCGCGUUGAUUACGUCCCUGCCCUUUGUACACACCGCCCGUCGCUACUACCGAUUGAAUGAUUUAGUGAGGUCUUCGGGCUAAUAACGCGGCAGUGCCUCGGCACUGCCGAUGUUGCCGGGAAGAUGACCAAACUUGAUCAUUUAGAGGAAGUA